rnacentral:Y_RNA from 1 species
GGUUGAUCUGAUGGCUAGUAGGUUAUCAGAACGUAUUACUAUUAGUGUCACUAAGGUUGAUAUACAAUCUCCCCAACCCCACACCCACACACUGCUAAAUUUGAUUGACUUUUA